UGGGGAAUAUUGGGCAAUGGGCGCAAGCCUGACCCAGCAACGCCGCGUGAGGGAAGAAGGUUUUCGGAUUGUAAACCUCUGUCGCAAGGGACGAAAUUUGACGGUACCUUGCAAGAAAGCCCCGGCUAACUACGUGCCAGCAGCCGCGGUAAUACGUAGGGGGCGAGCGUUGUCCGGAAUUAUUGGGCGUAAAGGGAGCGUAGGCGGCGUAUCAAGUCAGAUGUGAAAUACCAGGGCUCAACCCUGGGGCUGCAUUUGAAACUGGUAUGCUUGAGUGUAGGAGAGGAAAGUGGAAUUCCUAGUGUAGCGGUGAAAUGCGUAGAUAUUAGGAGGAACACCAGUGGCGAAGGCGACUUUCUGGACUAUAACUGACGCUGAGGCUCGAAAGCGUGGGGAGCAAACA
rnacentral:rRNA from 1 species